AAGAUAAUAGUUAAAAUUAACAUUUAAUUUGCACUUAAAAAUUAUUGGUUAUCAAUUUAUCUUA
rnacentral:tRNA from 1 species